rnacentral:rRNA from 1 species
UACAGAGGUCUCAAGCGUUUGUUCGGAUUCAUUGGGCGUAAAGGGUGCGUAGGUGGCGCCGUAAGUCGGGUGUGAAAUUUCGGAGCUUAACUCCGAAACUGCAUUCGAUACUGCGGUGGCUUGAGGACUGGAGAGGAGACUGGAAUUCAUGGUGUAGCAGUGAAAUGCGUAGAGAUCAUGAGGAAGACCAGUGGCGAAGGCGGGUCUCUGGGCCAUUACUGACACUGAGAAGCGAAAGCAUGGGGAGCGAACAGG